rnacentral:snoRNA from 1 species
CCCCUCCCAGGGUCGUACCUGUAGAGUGUCCAGUCCUCUACCAGUCUCGGCUAUGGAAGGGAGAGUCAAGCAGAGGCCUGUCUAGUCCAUUCCUAGCUUGGCCAGUGGCUAGCGAGUGGAAGGCCAUCUGCUACAAGU